AUACUUUUGCUAUGAGCACGUCAGCCUACAUUCAUUUGCAUGUACAUCCAUGUACUAAACCGUGUGUAAUAAUGGCUGUGAAAACCUUUAGUGCCCUGCUGUGAUUCCUUUUACUUUAGUAUAUUUACUGCGUGGUCUUAAAGGGAAAAUAUCUCUAGACCAGUGGUUCUCAACCACGUAUAAAUUGCCCCUCGGCAGAUGUUUGGCGGUGUCCGUAGACAUUUUUGAUUGUCACGAUUGAGCAGGAGGGGAGUGGGGAUGGUGGUUGUUGCUACUGGCAUUUCGUGGGUAGAGAGCUGGGAGGUUGCCUAAACAUCCUACGAUGCACAGAACAGCACUCCAACAACAACAAAAUCAUUUGGGUAUAAACUGUCAAUAGUGCUGAGUUUGAGAAACCCGGAGUUUAAGAACUCAGGGUUCCAGAUUCCUAUUUCAAAGCAUCUUUCCAGCAUGAGGUUCCAAAACUUUCAGGAUCAUUCAAAACAUACUUGUUUUGGUCAUGUGGUUAUCAUCCUUAUUAAGGGAAAAGACUACAUCUUUGAUAACACAUAAUAGAUAUGUAAAAGGUGAGACAAGUUGGAAUGUAUCCCCGGUGUCACUUUUCAUUUUUAUUCCACAGAUAGGCAUAUUUAAAUGCUUUAUUGUGUUACAUUAAUCAGCGAGUCAGUAAACUUUGGUCCACCUUUCUCCUGAUGGAUAAUUUGAAGUCUCUCUCAUUUAUUUUUGGUUAUAUAAAAAUUAUUAACCCAUGGUGCCAGGUUUGCUCUGCAAAAUGCCCAGUCUUUAAGCCGAAGACACGUAGUUCCAGCUCUCACAAAUCAAAUUACAGAAAAGCAGCGGGCUUGGCUUGACUUCAUUCAGUGGAUAAAACUACCCUAGACCUUAAUAAACUAUUCCAGGAAGAGGAGCCUUGGCCCUAUUUAACCAGGCCAUCAGACAGUAUAAAGCCAUUGACUUGGGGAUUUUUGUUUCCCCAGCAGACGGACAUUCUUGGUUGCGAUUUGCUUGGACUAAAAAAUAGUUUUUAAAUUCCUUUGUCUUACCCCAUUUCACACCAACAGACAGUAAGAGACAGAGACAGAAAGCCUCGAAUACCAUGGUAUAAUCUGCAUAGAGAUAACUGAGCCUUGGCUCUGAUUUUGAGGUGUUUCCCAAUGAUAAACACCUCGUCAUGAAGUGCUUCACAUCGGGCUUCUACUCUAUAGCUAGUCCUGCAUUGGGAUCAUCUCUUUAAAUGCACCUGAGGAAUGCAAGCAUAUCGCAGUGUAUUCAUUCUAUGCACAGAUAAAAAGAGAUUUUAAUCUUGGGUGUUCCUCCAACUAGUUACAUGAUGUUCAGAUCACUGGGACGAGCCUCCCUCUGCUUUCGUUUCCUCAUAUGUACCCUGGGGAUCUGGUUGUUAAGUCCUGUGGAGACAUUCGCUUAUGGAGCUUAACCCAUAAUACAGGGCCAGGUGGAAGAGGAAGCCUCACAGUCAAGGCCUCCUGGCAAUCUCCUCUCUGCUGGUCAUCUUACGUGGCCCUACUGGUUCUUCCAGCCACCACUUUUGAUUCUCACCUUAUGUGUUGCCGUUUUGUUUUUUUCAUUCUGAGUCCUGAUUCCCUUGUGAGAUCCCAUUUCCUAUUUGCCACAUUCACUUUGCACACCAUCUUGAUCCCAGCGAGUCUGCUUCUAGCCUGGUAACCCGACCCCAGAUCCUGAUUACAUUCUUGGUUCGUCUCUCAUGACCCUGGACAGGUGCCUGGGUGAUUUGGUUGGCGCAGUUCCCCUAGCCCAGCCCAGCAAGAGGGGCCUGUACCCUGCCUUGAAUGGUAGUGGUGACAGUCAAAAGCCACCCAGAGUGGCUGUGAGAGAAGGACACAGAAGGAGGGACACACAGAAGGAUAACUGCAAACGUGAAAUUAGAGGAAUGCUCAACCACAGUGGCAUGAAGUCUCAGCUCUUUAAAUGAAACUUAUUUCGGUUUUCCAGCCAUGAUUCUACUUCCCAAAAUCUUGAUGUCAGAUCCUAUCAGAUAUGAAGGGACAAAAGAUACUCUUGCUAUUGUUCAUUCUCACCUGUGUCUUCCGCAUGCGACUCAACAAUGACUCUUCUGGUGGCGGCGAGCAGGAGGGCUGCACGGGGCUGAGGGAGAACUCACCUGCCAGCUCCUGCCCUCCCUCAUCUGUACACGUGGUGUUAGAGCGGUUCCUGUUCCUUUGGAAGGUCUGUUCCCCAAAGAAUAUUUCCCCUGGUACCGCGGGUCCGGUGUUUCUUACAGCUCCUUCUCCACCUUCCUGUCUUCGCUUUUCCAAGUCAGAUGUGCAACAUGAAGUCCCAGAGGCACAUUUCCACUUAGUUGUGGUUCUCUUCUUCAGAAAUGUAGAACCUACAGGCACUCUUUACAACAGCUACUAGAGCUUUGGGAUUCGUUUAAUUUACUUUUUCCGGAGCGUUUUCCUCAGGCCGUUACUCUCUUCCUCCCCAGGCUGCUUGCCCCUUGUCUCUUAGCAUUACUGCCUGCACUCGUGGCUCCUUGGCGGAUAUGACCUUGUCUGUGAAUCAUGGGGCUAGAUGCUAUUUCCUGCUCCAUCAUCAACACGCAGCCUGCCUUUACAUAUAUUAUUCUCACCCUUCUGCUUCUUUCUUGUGUCUAAAACAAACGUAGGACUUGCUGCAUCAAAGUGAAGCUUGGUUGGACAAUGUGUUUUGUUCUGUCACGCAGUUAAGCAUCUGACACUCACCUUUUUUCAGUGUCUGCCUGCUUGGUUACAGCACCCAAGGGGCCACUUGUUCCCUUGUUUCUUUCCGUGAAGACAGGGAAGUGAAUACAGGGUGGCAGAGACUUACUGAAAGAACAUUGCAGUGAAUUAUUCUGAGAUCUCAAGAACAUGAACAAGGAAGGAAGUGCCUAGGGAUAGAGCCAGUCUUCCAUGGCUGGCCCCGCUGCUCCAUGGAGGGUGAGCACCUGUCAGGACACCGGAUGACAUCCCUGCUCUCCUUCCUUUCUCCCCCUUUCCCAGGCCCGGGAAGAACUCGGUCACUAGGGCAGGUGCUGGUAAUAAUUCUGAGCAUUUUGGAUGCCAGAGGAAAGAGGCGCUUCUCUCUCGAGGCAGGCGGCUCUGACCUCACACUUUGCUAGAGUGUGCGGAAGCAAGAAUGUCCUCGGGGAAAACAUUGUACGUAUUCUGGGUUCUCUCAGGAGCCUCUGCAACCUCCCAGCAUUCUGACGGUUUCAGGAGUGGGGACGGGGCCGUGAUCAUGGCUGUGGAGAGUUUUUGUCCACUUCUUCCUUCUUUCUUUCCUUCCUUCAUCCAUAUCAACAUACUGCAAGACUUGGAACCAUGCGAGAAUCAGGGAGUGCUCCCGUCCAAAAACUGUGUUCGGGAAGGUUUCCUGGCCAACAUGUGAGAAUUAUCUGUAGUGGUUAUGGAGGUAAUUCCAUGUUUGCCGAGCUCUGGAGGGACAUGUCACCUUUAAGCCAGCACCUUCUGAGAAUGCUGGGUGACAAGAGAACCAGACAGCAAAGCACGGUAACACAGAAUAACAGCAACCACUGGGAAAAACAUCAGCUCUUCUUCAUGGUCCCAGGCAAUGGCACUCUAAGUAGAUAUGAGAGGAGGCACCGGCCCACGGUAGUAGGAUCGCUGCUCGGAAGUGGAGGGUAUUGAGGUCUGUGACUCCCAAGGCAAGUGAGGGAGCGUGUGAUCAUAUGAGAAGCUGUCUUUUCUCAUUACCCGUAAAUCCUUGGUAAGCGACCCUUUGAGUCAUCCGGCCUGGACCGCAAGCCCGGUCUCCGUGGCAAAAUAUCUGUUGCUCUAAAUCUGACCAUUUGGGCUGUUCCAUUUAAUUUUUUAUCUUCUCUGCCCCUGACCUAAUCACUUUAACCCAAUGCAACUGAGUUCUGGGUUUAUUGAGAACCUGUAUGUGCUUAGGACUAUGAUAGGUCCCAGGGGACAGAAAUGGGUCCAUAACUCAGGCUUGCUCUGAAGACACUUAGAGCCUGGCAUAAGAGUUGGCAAACUCUACCCUGCAGGCCAAAUCCCACCCUCAGCCUGUUUUCAUACGGCCCUAAGCUAAAAGUGGUUUUUGUGUUUUUAAAGAGUUAUUGGAAGUGGGAGGAGAAAGAAUAGGCAACAGAGGUGGUAAAGCCUAAAAUACUGACUCGUUGACCCUGUACCAAAAAUGUGUGCAACCCCUGGUCUGGUUGAUGAGAAAGGAGGUCAGAUAAUGGUGAAUCACGGUGGUGUAUCUUUUUAAGACAACUAGCUUGUGAGCGUGCCUACCAUAUGCCAGGUACAAAGAGCGGGCAGGGAGAGAGCUUCAUACGUUUUAUAUGUAAGAGAGAGAUGGAGAAAAAGAGAGACCCUCCCUAAUCAAGUCUGGUGAGAGAGACAGACAAUAAAGAACUAAAACUAUCAACUGUAUAAAUUUCAAAGGCUGACAAGUGAUAUAAUGGAACAAAGCAGGGGGCUGCAAAAGAGACCGAGGGAAGGUGGUGUUAGGCCGGUCGGGAAAGACUAGUUCCUCGGCAAAGUAGGGUGGGCUCAUGUCCUCGCCACAGAAUCAACAUCGUGUCUUUAUAGCGACAAGCGAGAUGGCUACUAAUUCGGUAAAAACCAACAUCGUGCGGUUUUUCAAAACUUGCUUACUUUUUGGAUACAAGUCACAUUGUUAUAUAAAUAAAUAGAUUUGAAGAACAAAUCAGAAUCACUAAAGUGAUUAAAAUUGGAACCACAAUGUUAGAAUUCAUUUCAGUGUUAGAAUUCAUUUCAAAGUGAAUCUAGAGAAAGUGUAAUAUUAUUUUAGAAUUAAUAUGAUUACCUCAGAUGAGGCAUCUAUGAAGAUUUGUGGCUUAAUUUUCUCAUUUCUGGUAGGAAUGAUAGCUAUCAAAGUAGCAGGAGCUAAAAUUGAUUAUGAAUAAAAAGUAAAAUUAAUCAGUUCUCUAUUGUUCAAAGAGAUAAAAGAAUAUGGAAAAAGAUAAAAGAAAAUCUACUUUCUAAAUGCCUUUUUGCUUUGAUUAAGAGAACUACUGGUCCUUCAGAUACUUUAAACAUUUUGGUUAAUUUUUUUCCCGGACUUCCUUGAAAGUGGUUAGCUGUGGUGGGUAAAGCGGUUUUCAUCCUUUGAUUAUAUACAGAAGCACACCCUGUUCACAGUUUACAACCUGAAAACUCUAGAACUUUAGCGACCACUGUCACCAUUUUGAUUCAAAUUGAAAGUCCGGUUUCAUCUUCAGAGUCUACUUCUUUCUAGAAAAGUCUUUUUCUGUAAUUUCUGGCUCUGGUUUGAGCAUUUAUUUCAUUAAUCUUUAAAAUAUUCUUGGGAAUAUCCUUUUCAUUCUAAUACCUCGGAUUUAUGUGACUCCUUUUUAAUGACCUUGAAGGACUUCUCAUAAGGAAGGAGGUUGAAAUCGGAUGCACGAUCACCAUGCGGUGAUUUCUUUCCCUAUUCUCUCUCAUAUAUAUUGUGUGAGUCCUCUCAGUUGUAAUUGUUGGAUUAAAGUAAUUGCUAAGGUGAGUUUAUCCAGUCAGAGAAAGGGCAUUAAAAUUCAGUGAUUUUGACUUAAAAUUGUACGCAGCUGCUUUGAAAUGAAUACAUGGUAACCCAAGAAGGCAUGUAACUCAGUGAAAGGAAGUGGUUUACAAAGAAUAACUUUUAGAGUAUUGAUCCAGCUCAGUAUCAUCUUUUCUUAGAAUUAAUUUUAAAGUAUUACUGACAUUGGUGAAACAGGGGCAUUAUUUUGGGGGUAAAACUUUUGCUGUUGUUAAAGAUAAUAUUUACAGUAAUAACAGUUAGCAAGUGUUGAGCAUAUACCAUGCUCUAGACACUUCUCUCAGUGUUUUGCAUAUAUGGUAUUAUGUUGCUUAAUCCACAUAACACUGUUCUGAGGAUAAUUACAAGUAUUACUGCAUUUUACAAAUGACAAAACUGUGGCACAGAAGGAGUAAAUACACUCACUGUGACAGAGCUAGGGUUUGAAAUCCAGGCAUUGAUUCCAGAGCUCACGUGCUAGACUGCAUUACGGUACUAUCGCAGAUGAUUGGUUGGCAGUAUCCCCAAGUAUGUGUUGAAUUUUGAAAGCUUUUGGAGCUUCCCAGAGAACCUGUAAGCUCCAGGAACAGAAGUGUUCACCCAGGCAUGGGGAGAUACGUGUAGACAGUGGACAUCGCACCAAAGACAGUGCCGAUCUGAAGGCAGCAAGGCAGCAAGCUGGUGUCGCUCCUCAGUGGUGAUGACGGUUUGUCCAGCUAUAAACCCCUGGCCAGUGGCGCAAACAUGCCGGCUUGAGUAGGGUUUCGCUCUGUGGCUAUAGAAAGACAUAACUAAUGAGUUAAUUAAAGAAUUAACCGGCUAUUGGCUAUCAAAGACUAGAUUUAACCUGCUUUUAGAUAUAGUUAAUGCGGUCAGUUAUAAUGGCUGAUUAUACAAAGUCCUGCAAAUGCAAACCUACAAGGUUGGAGCCAAAUGGGCACUGGAAGUAUGAGAGCAGCUCAGGUUCUAAGACAAGAAGGAGUGAUAGGAACUCCAUGCUCCUUUGCAGGAUUUUUGUUUCUUUUUUUAAACAGAGUACAGUCCAAACAUUUCUGUGGCCAGGAUUUAUCCUGAUGGCUUAUGAAUCUUCUUUUA